ACCUAGGUCUUGAAGAGCAAUAGUUCUUGUCCUAUGGACAUUUUAGACUUCAAUUAGCAAUUACAACACAACCAAGCUAUAUCACAGUCUUUGCAAAGAUAAUAAUCAGUCUACAUCGAUACAAUCAGAAAGGCAUUAAUUAAACAAUACUGACAUCUUGCUAAUAUAGUACACCUCCCAUAUAAAGUGCUAACCAUAAAUAAGUAGACCCCUUUUAAAGCGCACUGAAGUGGCAAUGUUGCGAGGAUAUGUCUUGAUCUGAUGAGCAUCGGGCUCCUCAAAACGGAAAUUGUAGCUUCUCUCAAAGUCCUGCUGCCGCUCCAAGAAGGUCUCGCCUUCCUCUUCAGAAUCCUCCACAUCGUUCUGCACCACCUCCUCAUAUGUCGGGAUCCUUCAAACAAUCUUCGGAUCUUUCUUCUUUAGGAGUGACAAUGUCCUGUAAAAGUCCCUUUCAACCCCUGGAUCCAACUCCUAGAGGGUCGACCACAACACAAGGAUAUAUGGUGACAGGCAGACCAAUUAAAAGCUCUUCCACUAGAUACUGCAAGGCCAAAUGACGUAUAUGACCAUACUGUCAUCACAUUGCACUUGGGGGGGUAAAAAAGGAAAAUGAUUGGUAAAGAAUUUUCUUAGGCUCUGGAAUAUAAACUGAAGCCUGAAAAUAAUUCUCUUGAUGUUAAUGUUCUCAGAUGUUAACGCUUUAGCACCAGCAAUGUUGAAUAUAGAUUUUGUUAACAGAAGCAACCAACUAAGGACUUGUGCAAAUACAGUCUGUCACAUAGACGCAAAGGUUAAAUUAUUGCUUUUUUGUCGUUUUACUGGAAUAAUAGGGCAGUGACACAUAACCUUGUGCAGCCCAAUUAAUGAUUAAUAAUGUCAUGGGAUCAGAUGCAGCAUUUGUUUGAAAAACAGCAGAUCUCUGCCGUCACAGCCAAGAAAAACAAACUUUAUCUCCACAAUGAGAGUCUGUUUUAGUUGAAGUUUAGUCAACCUGUGGUAUGGUUCAUGUUGAAUUUUAAAGAAAGACUAUACAUUUGCCUGUAACACUUUAGGAAACCUGCAGGCAUGAUUGGCUUGUUGUUGCCUGGAAGUGUCACUGUACCCUCUCCCUCACACCUCACUCAGGUUAUCAGCUCCAUGCUUCCGUUAAUGCCCGGCCUUGAACUUUGCACAUGACCACACAGUAGAGAGGAGUCACAGAGCUGGGUGCUGCCCUUCUCGUUGCAAUGGUUGUUCUUGUUGUGGCUGAGGCAACAAUUUCAAUAUGCCAAAAUGCUAAAUUUUCUGCGUGCAAUUAAUAAAUAUAUUUCCUUCUGUAAUCUAAAAGUCUACACAGCAGUUUAUUGUUAAAU